rnacentral:rRNA from 1 species
AGGAGUUUGAUCCUGGCUCAGAACGAACGCUGGCGGCGUGCCUAACACAUGCAAGUCGAGGGAGAACGAGAGCUUCGGCUCUCUAGUAAACCGGCGCACGGGUGAGUAACACGUAGGUAACGUACCUUCGAGUCCGGGAUAACCAAGGGAAACUCUGGCUAAUACCGGAUACGCUCCGAGGAGCUGCGGCUCUUCGGAUGAAAGAUGGCCUCUACAUGUAAGCUGUCGCUCGUUGAUCGGCCUGCGCACCAUUAGCUUGUUGGUGAGGUAACGGCUCACCAAGGCUGAGAUGGUUAGCUGGUCUGAGAGGAUGGCCAGCCACACUGGGACUGAGAUACGGCCCAGACUCCUACGGGAGGCAGCAGUGGGGAAUCUUGCGCAAUGGGGGAAACCCUGACGCAGCGACGCCGCGUGGGUGAUGAAGGCUCUCGGGUCGUAAAGCCCUGUCGGAAGGGAAGAAACGUACCGACCUAAUACGUCGGAUACCUGACGGUACCUUCUAAGGAAGCACCGGCUAACUCCGUGCCAGCAGCCGCGGUAAUACGGAGGGUGCAAGCGUUGUUCGGAAUCACUGGGCGUAAAGGGCGUGUAGGCGGUCUGUUAAGUCUGAUGUGAAAUCCCUCCGCUCAACGGAGGAACUGCGUCGGAAACUGGCAGACUAGAGUACCGGAGAGGAAGGUGGAAUUCCCGGUGUACCGG